GACGAACGCUGGCGGCGUGCCUAAUACAUGCAAGUCGAACGAGAGCGACCGGUGCUUGCACUGGUCAAUCUAGUGGCGAACGGGUGAGUAACACGUGGGUAACCUGCCCAUCAGAGGGGGAUAACAUUCGGAAACGGAUGCUAAAACCGCAUAGGUCUUCGAACCGCAUGGUUUGAAGAGGAAAAGAGGCGCAAGCUUCUGCUGAUGGAUGGACCCGCGGUGCAUUAGCUAGUUGGUGAGGUAACGGCUCACCAAGGCCGUGUUGCAUAGCCGACCUGAGAGGGUGAUCGGCCACAUUGGGACUGAGACACGGCCCAAACUCCUACGGGAGGCAGCAGUAGGGAAUCUUCCGCAAUGGACGCAAGUCUGACGGAGCAACGCCGCGUGAGUGAAGAAGGUUUUCGGAUCGUAAAACUCUGUUGUUAGAGAAGAAUAAGUGCUAGAGUAACUGUUAGCGCCUUGACGGUAUCUAACCAGAAAGCCACGGCUAACUACGUG
rnacentral:rRNA from 1 species